GUCUAAGACCAUACCACCUGAACACAUCCAAUCUCAUCUUGUCUCAGAAGCUAAGCAGGUCAAGCCUGGUUAGUACUUGGGUGGGAGACAGAUCUUCAGAAGAGACU
rnacentral:rRNA from 1 species